GAUGAACGCUGGCGGCGUGCUUAACACAUGCAAGUCGAACGGAAAGGCCCUGCUUUUGUGGGGUGCUCGAGUGGCGAACGGGUGAGUAUCACGUGAGUAACCUGUACUUGUCUUUGGGAUAUCUUCAGGAAAAUGGGGCUAAUAUAGGAGAGGAUCUCUUGCAGCACGGUGGGGGUUGGAAAGUUUCGGCGGUUGGGGAUGGACUCGCGGCUUAACAGCUUGCUGGUGGGGUAGUGGCUUACCAAGGCUUCGACGGGUAGCCGGCCUGAGAGGGUGACCGGCCACAAUAGGACUGAGGUACGGACCAGACGGCAACGUGAGGCAACGGUGGGAAAUAUUGCGCAGUGGGCGGGAGCGUGAUACAGCGACGCCGCGUGCGGGAUGACGGCCUUCGGGGUAUGAACCGAUUUCGCCGGUGACGAGGCGUGAUUGACGGUAAUGAGUAAAGAAGCACCGGCUAACUACGUG
rnacentral:rRNA from 1 species